rnacentral:tRNA from 1 species
AGUAAAGUGUCUGAUUAAAGUAAUAAAUUGUAAAUUUAUUUAUAGAAUAAUAUUCUCUUUACUA